CAAGUCGAACGCGAAAGGGGGCAACCCCCGGUAGCGUGGCAGACGGGUGAGUAACACGUGGGCAACCUACCCGGAGGUGGGGGAUAACUCUUCGAAAGGAGAGCUAAUACCGCAUAACACCCCGAGGUUUUCGAACCUUGGUUUCAAAGCUAGCCUCUGCUUGCAAGCUAGCGCCACCGGAGGGGCCCGCGCCCCAUUAGCUAGUUGGUGAGGUAACGGCUCACCAAGGCGACGAUGGGUAGCCGGCCUGAGAGGGCGACCGGCCACACUGGAACUGAGACACGGUCCAGACUCCUACGGGAGGCAGCAGUGAGGAAUCUUGCGCAAUGGGCGAAUGCCUGACGCAGCGACGCCGCGUGGAGGAUGAAGGUCUUCGGAUCGUAAACUCCUGUCGAGCGGGACGAAUGCCGGGAGGGUUAACAGCCUUCCCGGUUGACGGUACCGCUGGAGGAAGCCCCGGCUAACUCCGUGCCAGCAGCCGCGGUAAUACGGAGGGGGCCAGCGUUGUUCGGAAUUAUUGGGCGUAAAGGGCGCGUAGGCGGCCAUUCAAGUCGGACGUGAAAUCCCUCGGCUCAACCGGGGAACUGCGUCCGAUACUGUCUGGCUCGAGUCCUGGAGAGGGUAGUGGAAUUCCCAGUGUAGCGGUGAAAUGCGUAGAUACUGGGAGGAACACCGGUGGCGAAGGCGGCUACCUGGACAGGUACUGACGCUGAUGCGCGAAAGCUAGGGGAGCAAACAGGAUUAGAUACCCUGGUAGUCCUAGCUGUAAACGAUGGGCACUUGGUGUUGCGGGUAUCGACCCCUGCAGUGCCGAAGCUAACGCAUUAAGUGCCCCGCCUGGGGAGUACGGUCGCAAGGCUGAAACUCAAAGGAAUUGACGGGGGCCCGCACAAGCGGUGGAGCAUGUGGUUCAAUUC
rnacentral:rRNA from 1 species